rnacentral:rRNA from 1 species
UACGUAGGAUGCAAGCGUUGUCCGGAAUUAUUGGGCGUAAAGCGCGCGUAGGCGGCUACUUAAGUCGGAUGUGAAAGCCCUUGGCUCAACUGAGGAAGUGCACCCGAAACUGAGUGGCUUGAGUACUAAAGAGGGUCGCGGAAUUCCCGGUGUAGAGGUGAAAUUCGUAGAUAUCGGGAGGAACACCGGUGGCGAAGGCGGCGACCUGGGUAGAUACUGACGCUGAGGCGCGAAAGCGUGGGAGCAACAGG